CCUCACAGUUACCCUAAAGGCACCAGAUCCUGCCUGACCUUGGAAGCUAAGAAAGGUCAGUUCUGGUUUAGUACUUGAAUGGAAGACCACCAGUGAAUACCAUAUGCUGUAGGCU
rnacentral:rRNA from 1 species